GAUGAACGCCGGCGGCGUGCCUAAUACAUGCAAGUCGAGCGAGAAGCUUGGAAAUGACGCUUCGGUUGAUUUUCCAAGCGGACAGCGGCGGACGGGUGAGUAACGCGUAGGCAACCUGCCCCUGACAGAGGGAUAGCCAUCGGAAACGAUGAUUAAAACCUCAUGACACCUGUAGUAGCACAUGCUACAUCGGUCAAAGAUUUAUCGGUCAGGGAUGGGCCUGCGUCUGAUUAACUGGUUGGUGAGGUAACGGCUCACCAAGGUGACGAUCAGUAGCCGACCUGAGAGGGUGAUCGGCCACAUCGGAACUGAGACACGGUCCAAACUUCUACGGAAGGCAGCAGUAGGGAAUCUUGCACAAUGGGCGAAAGCCUGAUGCAGCAAACGCCGCCUGAAGGAUGAAGGCCUUCCGGGUUGUA
rnacentral:rRNA from 1 species